rnacentral:rRNA from 1 species
UACGUAGGGGGCAAGCGUUGUCCGGAUUUAUUGGGCGUAAAGAGCGUGUAGGCGGCCUGACAGGUCUGCUGUGAAACUCGAGGCUCAACCUCGAGAUGUCGGCGGAAACCGUCUGGCUAGAGUCCGGAAGAGGAGAAUGGAAUUCCGUGGUGUAGCGGUGAAAUGCGCAGAUAUCAGGAAGAACACCCGUGGCUAAGGCGGUUCUCUAGUACGGUACUGACGCUGAGACGCGAAAGCGUGGGGAGCGAACAGG